rnacentral:rRNA from 1 species
UACGUAGGGUCCGAGCGUUAAUCGGAAUUACUGGGCGUAAAGCGUGCGCAGGCGGUUUUGUAAGUCUGUCGUGAAAGCCCCCGGGCUCAACCUGGGAAUUGCGAUGGAGACUGCAAGGCUUGAAUCUGGCAGAGGGGGGGUAGAAUUCCACGUGUAGCAGUGAAAUGCGUAGAGAUGUGGAGGAACACCGAUGGCGAAGGCAGCCCCCCUGGGUCAAGAUUGACGCUCAUGCACGAAAGCGUGGGGAGCAAACAGG